GGGGCUGAGGCUCAGUGGCAGAGCACUCGCCUGACAUAUGAGAGGCACUGGGUUCAAUACUCAGCACCACA
rnacentral:tRNA from 1 species